CAUUAGGUUUUUAUUAUAUAAGGUGAUCAAACAAUUGUCUACUUGUCACAUAAAAAGGUAGAACACAAUGGCUAAAACUCUCAAGGUUGUUUACACUGUGAUUCUUUUAGUGUUUCUAUUUCUUCUUUUAAUCGCCGCUAGUGAGUUGUAAGUCACGCGUUGAUUGUAAAACAUAUCCGUGUCCCACUCCUAAAGUCAAGAAUUGCGUUAAUGGUUAUUGUAAAUGUGAUAGGUAACACUUAAGUUAAAACUCAUUUAUUUGUUAUGUUAAAGUCUUUAAUUUUCUUUACUCAUCGUAAUGUUGUUUUUCUUAUAUAUGAUUUCUCUCAUAAUUUUUUAUAUAUUACUUUCGAACUUUCAAUUUCCUUAAUAGCUUUAGAAUCAUGUAAAAUUUUUAUUAAGACUUAGGUGUUUGAUAUAUCAUCUAAAAAACUUAGGAGUUAAGUUUAGACUUCAUGGGAGGAGAGUGAUUUAUUGAGUUUUACACUUCGAGGUGUUGUCCAUAGGAUGUCUUCGUACAAUUAUAUACUAUAUUGACCGAUUACUUGAUAGUAUCGUCUUUGUGAGAUUGCACACAAUACAUACAAUCUAGAGGGGGUGUUGCAAUUUGCAUAUGACAUAAAGAAUAACCUUUCCAUACAAGUUUUCCUGCAUUAGUUUGGCACCACAUGAAUAUCAAGGAGUGCAUUUUCAGCAUUGAAAUAUCAUCCAUUUAUGUCAUGUAGUAUUAUAUUGUCGUGAUUUUUGUGAUCAUGCUAAAUAUGUUUCAUGAAUGCAUGAUCAUCUAUUUUUAACUUAUUCAUUCAUUUAACAUGAUGUACGAUCUACUCACGUCUUUUGUGUCUCCUCUUAUUAUAUAUUUGUAUGCUGAAUUUGGUGACGACAAGAAAUCAAUGGAGCUUUGAUUUUGUUGUAUGAGUAGAGAUUCGUUAACUUCAAAUGCAACUCUAAAUUUAAUUACUAGACUUAAAGUUCUUUGAAUUCCUCAAAAUUUAUUGUUAUUAUUUGUUUUAUCUUAUAAUUCUCAAACUUCAGAGUUAUAAUAUUAUAAUAUGUUUUAUUUUAUUA